UACGUAGGGGGCGAGCGUUGUCCGGAUUUAUUGGGCGUAAAGAGCUCGUAGGCGGUUUGGUAAGUCGGGUGUGAAAUCUCCACGCUCAACGUGGAGGGGCCACUCGAUACUGCCAUGACUCGAGUCCGGUAGAGGAGUGUGGAAUUCCCGGUGUAGCGGUGAAAUGCGCAGAUAUCAGGAGGAACACCGGUGGCGAAGGCGGGUCUCUGGGCAGUAACUGACGCUGAGGAGCGAAAGCGUGGGUAGCGAACAGG
rnacentral:rRNA from 1 species